GCCAGGCGUGGUGGCGCAUGCCUGUAGUCCCAGCUACUCCGGAGGCUGAGGUGGGAGGAUCCUUGAGCCCAGGAGUUCUGGGCUGUAGUGCGCUAUGCCGAUCGGGUGUCCGCACUAAGUUCGGCAUCAAUAUGGUGACCUCCCGGGAGCGGGGGACCACCGGGUUGCCUAAGGAGGGGUGAACCGGCCCAGGUCGGAAACGGAGCAGGUCAAAAACUCCCGUGCUGAUCAGUAGUGGGAUCGCGCCUGUGAAUAGCCACUGCACUCCAGCCUGGGCAACAUAGCAAGACCCUGUCUCU
rnacentral:SRP_RNA from 1 species